rnacentral:rRNA from 1 species
CUGGCUCAGAACGAACGCUGGCGGCAGGCUUAACACAUGCAAGUCGAGCGCCCGCAAGGGGAGCGGCAGACGGGUGAGUAACGCGUGGGAAUUUGCCCUAUGGUACGGAAUAACUCAGGGAAACUUGAGCUAAUACCGUAUGUGUCCUUCGGGAGAAAGAUUUAUCGCCAUAGGAUGAGCCCGCGUCCGAUUAGCUAGUUGGUGUGGUAAUGGCGCACCAAGGCGACGAUCGGUAGCUGGUCUGAGAGGAUGAUCAGCCACACUGGGACUGAGACACGGCCCAGACUCCUACGGGAGGCAGCAGUGGGGAAUAUUGGACAAUGGGCGCAAGCCUGAUCCCAGCCAUGCCGCGUGAGUGAUGAAGGCCUUAGGGUUGUAAAGCUCUUUCGCCCGCGAGGAUAAUGACGGUAGCGGGAUAAGAAGCCCCGGCUAACUUCGUGCCAGCCGCUGC